rnacentral:rRNA from 1 species
CCUCGGAUCAGGUAGGAAUACCCGCUGAACUUAAGCAUAUCAAUAAGCGGAGGAAAAGAAACCAACAGGGAUUGCCCUAGUAACGGCGAGUGAAGCGGCAACAGCUCAAAUUUGAAAGCUGGCUCCGGCCCGCGUUGUAAUUUGCAGAGGAUGCUUCUGGCAAGGUGCCUUCCGAGUUCCCUGGAACGGGACGCCAUAGAGGGUGAGAGCCCCGUAUGGAUGGACACCAAGCCUGUGUGAAGCUCCUUCGACGAGUCGAGUAGUUUGGGAAUGCUGCUCAAAAUGGGAGGUAAAUCUCUUCUAAAGCUAAAUACCGGCCAGAGACCGAUAGCGCACAAGUAGAGUGAUCGAAAGAUGAAAAGCACCUUGAAAAGGGGGUUAAACAGUACGUGAAAUUGUUGAAAGGGAAGCGCUUGUGACCAGACUUGUGCCGGGCGGCUCAUCAGGGGUUCUCCCCUGUGCACUCCGCCCGGCUCAGGCCAGCAUCGGUUCUCGCGGGGGGAUAAGAACAGUGGGAAUGUGGCCCCCUCUCGGGGGGGUGUUAUAACCCAUUGUACGAUACCCUCGUGGGGACCGAGGUUCGCGCUCCGCAAGGAUGCUGGCGUAAUGGUCAUCAGCGACCCGUCUUGAAACACGGACCAAGGAGUCGUCCAUUAGAGCGAGCGUUUGGGUGUAAAACCCGCACGCGUAAUGAAAGUGAACGCAGGUGAGAGCUUCGGCGCAUCAUCGACCGAUCCUGAUGUCUUCGGAUGGAUUUGAGUAAGAGUUUUAACGGACGGACCCGAAAGACAGUGAACUAUGCUUGUAUAGGGUGAAGCCAGAGGAAACUCUGGUGGAGGCUCGCAGCGGUUCUGACGUGCAAAUCGAUCGUCAAAUAUGAGCAUGGGGGCGAAAGACUAAUCGAACUGUCUAGUAGCUGGUUACCGCCGAAGUUUCCCUCAGGAUAGCAGUGUUGUUCUUCAGUUUUAUGAGGUAAAGCGAAUGAUUAGGGACUCGGGGGCGCUUAUUAGCCUUCAUCCAUUCUCAAACUUUAAAUAUGUAAGAAGCCCUUGUUACUUAAUUGAACGUGGGCAUUCGAAUGUACCAACACUAGUGGGCCAUUUUUGGUAAGCAGAACUGGCGAUGCGGGAUGAACCGAACGCGGGGUUAAGGCGCCAGAGUGUACGCUCAUCAGACACCACAAAAGGCGUUAGUACAUCUUGACAGCAGG